AUUGAACGCUGGCGGCAGGCCUAACACAUGCAAGUCGAACGAGUGGCGGACGGGAUAGUUAUGUCUGGGAAACUGCCUGAUGGAUGGGGAUAACUACUGGAAACUGUAGCUAAUACCGCAUACCAUCAGAUGUGCCCAGUUGGGAUUAGCUAGGUGGUGGGGUAACGGCUCACCACGGCGACGAUCCCUAGCUGGUCUGAGAGGAUGACCAGCCACACUGGAACUGAGACACGGUCCAGACUCCUACGGGAGGCAGCAGUGGGGAAUAUUGCACAAUGGGCACAAGCCUGAUGCAGCCAUGCCGCGUGUAUGAAGAAGGCCUUCGGGUUGUAAAGUACUUUCAGCGGGGAGGCGUUACCCGCAGAAGAAGCACCGGCUAACUCCGUGCCAGCAGCCGCGGUAAUAC
rnacentral:rRNA from 1 species